UAGCUUCCAUCCUAAAGCUGAAUCUGCAA
rnacentral:piRNA from 1 species